AACGAACGCUGGCGGCGCGCCUAAUACAUGCAAGUCGAGCGAGAAGACGUAGCAAUACGUUUGUAAAGCGGCGAACGGGUGAGGAAUACAUGGGUAACCUACCCUCGAGUGGGGAAGUAACUAGCCGAAAGGUUAGCUAAUACCGCGUACGCUCCUUGGACUUCGGUUCAGGGAGGAAAGCGAUACCGUGGGUAUCGCGCUCUUGGAUGGGCUCAUGUCCUAUCAGCUUGUUGGUGAGGAACGGCUCACCAAGGCUUCGACGGGUAGCUGGUCUGAGAGGACGAUCAGCCACACUGGCACUGCGACACGGGCCAGACUCCUACGGGAGGCAGCAGUAAGGAAUAUUGCGCAAUGGGCGAAAGCCUGACGCAGCGACGCCGCGUGGGGGAGU
rnacentral:rRNA from 1 species